GUUUCCGUGGUGUAGUGGUUAUCACGUUUGCUUUACACGCAAAAGGUCCCCGGUUCGAGCCCGGGCGGAAACA
rnacentral:tRNA from 2 species